GACGAACCGUGCAAACGUUGUUCGGAAUCACUGGGCUUAAAGGGCGCGUAGGCGGCUUGCCAAGUCAGGGGUGAAAUCCUGCAGCUCAACUGUAGAAGUGCCUUUGAUACUGGCGAGCUCGAGGGAGGUAGGGGUGGGUGGAACUUCUGGUGGAGCGGUGAAAUGCGUUGAUAUCAGAAGGAACGCCGGUGGCGAAAGCGACCCACUGGAUCUCUACUGACGCUGAGGCGCGAAAGCUAGGGGAGCAAACGGGAUUAGAUACCCCGGUAGUCCUAGCCCUAAACGAUGAGCACUAGAUUGCAGACUGAUCAUGGGUUUGCAGUCGAAGCAAAAGUGUUAAGUGCUCCGCCUGGGGAGUAUGGUCGCAAGGCUGAA
rnacentral:rRNA from 1 species